rnacentral:misc_RNA from 1 species
UGAGAGGGGCAGGCAAGUAGAGAAGGGAAGCGACGGCGGAGGCGGCGAUGGACACAGAGGGUUGAAGAAGGUAAAAGAGAAGAGUAUUCGAAGCGGCCAAAAGGAGGAGCGUGUGGAUAUUGAAAAACUGAGGGGAUCAUGAUGUUUUUUCUUCUAUUAAGUAGUUUUCAAUCUGAAUCUAAACUCCAUUGCUGCUCCUCUUCUUUCUUCCUUCCCUCUCUCCCUGUACGCUCGCUACCAAUCGCAAUCGCUUCCCUUUGGGACCUCUUGAUGAUGAUGAUCAGCUUACAAAUCUGAAGGUUCCCAAUCCCAAUCUCGAAUCGAAUGUACUGAUUAAAUUGAUUAAUCAGCUAGCUUAUUUCUAAAAUUAAUUUUUUUAAACUACUU